CCUAGAGUUGUAGGCUUUGCCUGCUAUCUCUUACCCAUGUCUUUUGAGUACCUUCGUUUCCUCGGCGGGUCCGCCCGCCGAUUGGACAACACUUAAACCCUUUGUAAUUGAAAUCAGCGUCUGAAAAACUUUAUAGUUA
rnacentral:misc_RNA from 1 species